rnacentral:lncRNA from 1 species
AGCUGAGAGGGAAAGAUUUAUUUGUAAGAGUUGUAAUCUCAAAACAAAAUGCAGACAGGGUUGGAAUACCAGUUUUGUAAUGCUCGAAUGCUAUAAUUCAAUCUGUGCUGCUUUGUAUUACAUUCAUGACAACUCAACAGUAUUUCUAUGCAGUCCUUCAUCAGUUCUAGAUUACAUCAUGCUGUGAAUUGCUCUAUCUGUUAAUAUUGAUCCCUGUAAAUCAUUUGGUUUGAGGUCCUCAAAUGUAAAGCUGUGAUGUACUUCACCAUGCAAUGUACUCGCUCUGUCCUUGAAACUCAUUUAAAAACAAACAAAGCUGCACUUGCAGAGAUGAUAUUACCUUUCUGAAAGGUUAGGUUUACCCCUUCGGACGGUCAAUAGCUGGAUGAAAGCGUUCCACGGAAAGAAUGAGAACGAAGGAGAAAAUAAUUGAUUGGUGCUUGAUGUUGACUGAGGGAGCCCUAGAGGUGCCAUGUGCCUGAAGGGCUGUGUAGCACAGAGCCCAGUUCAAGGCAGUCAUGCUGCUUUCAGGGAGAGUGGCCAUGGGAACAGAAGCUGGAUAGGUUGAGUGCUAGUUCCUGUAUACUUACCAAGCUAUUUUUUUCUCUCUAAUUACCUAGGUUUUGCUUGGACUUCAUAUUCAUCCAUGUUCUUCAACCACUGCAUGGCUUUGCUGUGAGAUGAGAAGUGUUUGCUGCACUCGGCCUGCUGGAUUGCAUUUUGUUCUCCAUCCAUUUGUCCUGGGCUGAGUUUGAUUGCGAGUGAAGGUUGGCUUUGUUUUGCAGACCCCUUUAGGAUCCUUCAGAAAGAGUGCCAGUGUAGAAACGUCAGCAUGCAUAGACAGAUAUCAAACUAUCAGACAAAUGGAAAUUGCUCUGGGGGGAAAAAAAAAAAAAAGUAAGUAAUAUUGUCUUAUGUUAGAGAUUGUUAUUGGUCUUUCUUCAUAUCAUUGACUCAGAGAAACUCCCACCUGAAUCCAUUUGGAUAUGGGAGGUGAAACUGAGUAAAUACUAUCAGGUUUGUGCACACAAACGAGGAGCAUUCUGGUGCUUGCAAAAGGGCUCAGAUGGUUUCCAGCCCCUGUUUCUCACAGGGAAAGAGAAGACUGCUCCUUCCUUCCUGGCAAGAAGGGCAGCAAGUGCUGCAGAUGGCAGUCUUACACCCAGCACCUGCUUGAAUCCAGCAUGUAGCUGGACUGGGCCAGGCCCUGUGCUUCUCUUGAAGCAUACAGCCUACCCUGAGUUUACAGCACUGGCUGAAGUGUUCUCAGAUGAGCAGGUGGGAGAACGGCCUGUAAGUCGUCAUCUUUAUAAACGAGCCCUUCAGCAGAUGAAGAGAUCUCCAUGCAGAAGUGCUACGGUGGUGCUGCACUUCUGUAGCCCAGUUUGACCACCACGUAAGCCAAGCAAAUAAACGUAUGCUUACAAGAACA